rnacentral:rRNA from 1 species
GACGAACGCUGGCGGCGUGCUUAACACAUGCAAGUCGAACGGAAAGGCCCUGCUUUUGUGGGGUGCUCGAGUGGCGAACGGGUGAGUAACACGUGAGUAACCUGCCCUUGACUUUGGGAUAACUUCAGGAAACUGGGGCUAAUACCGGAUAGGAGCUCCUGCUGCAUGGUGGGGGUUGGAAAGUUUCGGCGGUUGGGGAUGGACUCGCGGCUUUUCAGCUUGUUGGUGGGGUAGUGGCUUACCAAGGCUUUGACGGGUAGCCGGCCUGAGAGGGUGACCGGCCACAUUGGGACUGAGAUACGGCCCAGACUCCUACGGGAGGCAGCAGUGGGGAAUAUUGCACAAUGGGCGGAAGCCUGAUGCAGCAACGCCGCGUGCGGGAUGACGGCCUUCGGGUUGUAAACCGCUUUCGCCUGUGACGAAGCGUGAGUGACGGUAAUGGGUAAAGAAGCACCGGCUAACUACGUG